rnacentral:lncRNA from 1 species
AAGAAUUUAAGAAAAAUCUCCCAUCUCUCUUUUUAUGAGAAAAACAACACCUUUCUCAUAAACUCAUAACAAAUUUCUCAAAUCCUCCGAACACAAUAAUGCAUAAUCAACAAAACAAAACCACAUAGAAGCAAAAUUGAAGAGGAAGAAGAACUAACAAUGGCGGCAUAUCCAGACGAAAUGAGUAGUUACGACUGUGAUUUCAGCGGUUGACGGUGAGAGGUGGUGAGUCUGGCGGCUUCGAUUGUUUUGGUUCUUCUACUUCUUUUUUGUUUGUUGUUGUGAUGUUAUGAUGAUAAGCUUCUUGUUGUAUGUGGUUGUUCAAGUGUAUUGAAGUGAGGAAAUAUGAAAUGAAAAUGAUUUUAGUGACGAUUGAAAUGGUUUUUUUGAGAAUGGUGUUGUGGUUUUUAUAUGGAGGUUUAUGUUUGAGAGGGUAACAUAAGUUAUGAGGUGUAUGUUUAGUGGUGGUAAUAUGGAGAUGAUAAUGUUUGUUAUGUAAUGAAGGUGAUGAAGUUUUAUUGGUGAUGAGAGUGAGGUGGAUUUUGUGGUGUUAGUGUAUGGUUUUUUUUCAUGAUAAAGAAAGUUGUAGUAUGGUGAGUUUGUGAGGAAGGAAGGAUACUGAAUGAUAAAAGGAAGAAGAAGUUAUUUCUUCAUAUUUUUUUAGUUUUCUUUAUUCACCAUUUUUUGUUUUAUUGAAUAGAAAGAGAUAGAUAGAUAGAUAGAUUGAUAGAUAGAUAGAUAGAUAAAUAGAUAGAUAGAGAUAGAGAUAGAUAGAUAGAUAGAUAGAUAGAUAGAUAGAU